ensembl:lncRNA
UAUGAUAUUUACAACAAAUUAAACACUGAAUGAAGCAUCAAUUGCUACGUGAUUUUAUCACAAAGGCAAGGUAUAACUCAUCUCUUCCUUUCUCUUAAGCAAAUGACCUGAAUACCAUGAGGUAUCCACCCACACCUAAAAUUUAUCAUCCUAGUCAUCCCUGUUUUCUAUCAAGUUUUAUUCUUUGAUAAAAUCCCAUGAGCUUUCCCUUCAAAAUGGGUAGGAACAAACCUCAGAAUAUUCCAUCUUUAUGACACCACUGAAAAUGUUGAAUUCAGUUUUAGUGCUUUUGUUCAUUUAGAGAUCUGUCUGGGAUUCUCUUUGGAUCCUGCAAUGAUGGACUUGGUGUUGAAGCUGUAUUGAUCGGUUACUGAAGAAUUUUCCUCUGUUUCACAUCAUCUUCCCACUAAUGGUUCCCAGUUCAUAUUUUCUGGAAGAACCAGUAUGCAAGCAUGCUCUUUCCAAAUGGGGCUUUGGUAGCAGAUGGCAGGUCAAAUCCCUCAGGAAGUGAAGAUCAAGAAGAAAUGGUUGGAAAUUUUCCAGUUAACUCUGAGUAAUCAUGAGAGGUGUACAGACACAAGAUUAUUCCAUUUCCUUCUGUGCUGUUCAAGGAGAGACGGUAUGAGCCCAGCUUCCGGAUGUUGAAUCAUAUGACUUGAACCAGAGGUCAGGUAAAGUGGUGGUCAACUUCAGGUUCCAACCUGCAAAACAGCCCACCUCUGGAAGCCUAGUCAUUCAGGGAGGUGAGCGUGCCAGACACCACAAACCCAGACUUGCUGGUAGAGGCCCCUCAAGCCAAACAGCAGCACAGCCAGUAAAGGGUGGUGGGAGGUAGAAAGCAAGCUCGAGGCUGGCAAGGGGGCGGAGUGAGUCACUUCUUUGAUGUGGAGUGGUUAUUACAAACACAGCAAAGGUGAGCAAGCAUUUCCUUCCCCUGACUACUGUGACUACUGGUGUAGGAAACUGAGUCAUGGGCUAGGACAGCUUUAGAGUUGCAGGAGAGGAAAAUUCUUAUUUAUAGUCUAACAUCAAUUUUACUAAGAUGCAUUUUGUCAAUCUGGUAAAUCUGCAGUCUGCCUUAUGUGGAUAAGCCAGUUUCCUACUUAUUUGCAAAAUAUUUUCUCACUGUUCUUUUCUUAGUAAAGAUGCUCUUUGAGAGUUGUAUACACUCAACCUGAUCCUUUAUAGGUAAUGAUUAUUUAAAGAAAUGCAUUCAUUUUGUAAUUUCAACACUAGGAAGGUAGAGACAGGAAGAUCAGAAGUUCAAGGUCAUCCUCAGAUAAAAGGCAAGUUCGAGGUCAGCCUCACCUAUAAAAGAACCUGUCUAAGAAAAAGGAGAUGGGAGGAAGAAAGAGAAGAAGAAAGAAAAGAACAUAAAUUCUUAACAAUACAUCCAAAAUGUUGGCUCACAUCAGUCAGAAUAAUGAUAUAAGACUUUCAGAGAAAGUAUCUGUGUGAAUUAUUGCAUUUCCUUCCCUAAGACCAGGCUUAAUAUUACCUCCUUUCAUCUCUUUUAUAAAUAUAUAUUUUAAUUUCCUAACCAGCAAAAAAAAAAAAAAUGCCUAAGUUUAAACACUAUUUACCUGAAGCAGAACAGAGCAAGAGGGUCUAUUCUGAGUAGAGUACAUUGAUUUCCUUGUUAUCGUUGGUUAAGAAUUUCAUCAAAUUGCAGGCCCUAAACUAGCCCGGUAUUUAUAAGUCAGCCAUAGUUUGGUGUUCUUAGUUUUGCCUGGCUAGGGCACUAUACUCACAGAAACGCUCUGUGAUUUUAUGAAUGAUUAUAUUUGUUACUUUUUACAUCACUGUCACAAACUUCCUAGCAGAAAGGACUUGAGGGAGGGUUUAUUUUGGCUAGGGACGGCCUGGUGUGGGGCAGGGGAGGCACAGGGCCAGGUGGUUCGCCUGCGAUAAUUGGAGUUUGCAGCAAAGCUUGCUUACAUCUUAGAAGAACAGGAAACAGCUUGUUAGAGCCAAAUACAGAGGGGAGUGCAGUUUCCAAAGACAGAGCCACUUCUGCUCACUGGGCCACAGUACCACAGGUUCCACAACCUUCUAAAACAGUGAGUUGUCUGUGGCAAUGCUGAAAUAUGUGAACCUUACCGCAACAGAGACAUCAUUUGUUUAUUUGACUUUAUUAGAAAAAGACUAGAUGUUCACUGCUGGAACCGUAUCAUCACUCCUUCCUUCCACGGUGCCACAAAAUCUUCAGUGUAAAUAAAUCACAAAUUGAAAGCUCAAAUCACAGAAGAAAAAAAAUGAUGGCUUAUAGACUUAUCCAUUUUCUUAUUAAUUGUUAAAAGUAAUAAUAGUAAUAAUGCCAGAGUCUGCUAUAGCCAUCAGGAAUAUAGCAAAACCAAAUAGGAACUCACAGGGAAAAAAAGCAACAUUUGUUUAUGUUAAUGGUGGUAAGUGCUUUUUAGCAAAACCAAUUAACAGAAGGGUAAGGAGCAGGAAGAAGGGGUGUAAUUUCAAAUGGGGUGACCUGGGAAGUCUCACUAAGAAGGUUGCAUCACAAUUACGGUAAACUUGACCCUCAGUAACUACUGAAAUCCAGAAAUUGUUCUGGACUGAUGGUGAAAUCCACAAGGUUUGAAAAUGAUCAAGUGACCUACAUGAGGACAAUUUUCUCUUGCAUUAGGAAUUAUAUCUUACCCACACCUUAUGACUCAGAAGGUAUUAAUUUUUAUCUUCCUAACUCUGGUAGCCAAAUGUUAGGAUUGAGUCAGGCAAAUAUUUCCCAAAUGAGUUGUAGAAUGUACCCUUACUCACGAUAGCACCACUAAAACCAGCAGACGUGUUCCUGGGCGGUAGAAACUUGUGUCUGAGACAUUUGCAUAUUUAGAGGUGUUUUUAUUCCUUUAAAAGAACAUGACUGAGAAUCACUUUUAUAGCUAACAAGAGCCAGAGUAACUCAUGUUAAAGAAUAGGAUUUAAUUGAUAGUUUAGAAGUUGAAAACUUCUGAGUAAAAGCUAGCCCCAAAGCAUUUCAUGGUGAAAAAAAAGUUUCAUAAUUUCCUUAAAAAUAUUCCAGAUGAUAACUGAUUGAACUUUAAAAUAUUGGCUUUGGUAUAUUUUUUUCCUCCCACGAAGAAAAUGCUUGUAAGAGCAAAAAAUCCAUUCUAAGUGGCUCUGAGGGAGUUCAUGUUUUGUUUAAGAAUUGUGGUUUCUCUUGGCUAGCAAACAUACAGAAAUAGUUUCCCUGGUGUAAAACAUUAGAAUGACAGACUCUUGUUGGGAAUGGAUAGAAAUAGACAUAAUUACAACUGUAACUACAGGGAAAAGAAGGCAAAUGAUCAAACAUUUAUUGGGCUUAAGCACAGUAAAUUGUCAACUCCAAAAAUCAUGAUUUGUUUAAUAAAAGUCAAUACCACUGCAUUCAUGUCCAAAUCUAGAGAAAAGAGACUUGGAGCCAGAUUGGUACACUGGGAGUUUGUUGGCACUGCUGCUGAGAGGGACGAGCCCGAGAAAAUGAAAGUAGAACUUGGCAAACAAGAAUGGAUCCUGCAGUUCAGUAGUCCAAAGCCAACAGCCAGUCCCUUGUAGAAUUUUGAAGGUGGGAUGACACUUCAACAUUCUGCUCAGCUGAGACAAGCGGUUCCCUUUGACCAAAGGCAUAUCUGAGGCUGGGAAUUUAUCCGUGACUUGUUACCAGCCAAUGUGGCAGCCAGGACAUGAAUUCCAUGGCUGUGAAAGAGAACUUGGAAGACCUCAGCAUCUGCAGCAGACAGUACGGCUUCAUCUCUGAUACAAGAAUGGUGAAAGAUGCACGGACUUCACUGUGUCGCUGCAUAGGUUGGAGUGUGGGGUGGCAUGCCCUUUCAAAACUGAAAAUCUGGAACCACAUUGCAGUCUGCGUGUUUAUUAAAGGCAGGUACAGCUAGCAACCCCACUUGGUCUGGUACAAAAGGAAACGCAGGUUCUCUUGUUCAAAAGGAGGAAGAAAGAUGCUGCUGAUGGUCCCAAGGCAUACAUUUUCUAUUCCUUCUUGAUGGGUGCUCUACAUUUUAGGAUGUUUCAUUUGCUAUUUAAUGCUGUUCUAGAUAAGAAAAUUUUACUUUAAAAUCGCAUUUAGGAUUUGUGCUAAGUGAGGUAUAAUCUGAUCUUACCAGAAAACUGAACAAGGAAGCUGUGUGAAGAGUAGAGAGGGGGGUGGGAGACAAACAAACAAAAAGGUGUGUAAGAGUAGGGGGUGGGAACAGACAGGUAUGUUAACUUUAUUCAUACGGUGAUUUUUUUUUUACUUUCUAUACAUAAUCUGCAAUAUUUUUUACAUGCCUUAAAUACACACAAAAAUAAUUUUUAAAAUUCAUGUAUAAAAGGCAGACAGCUCGUAUAGGCUUGUGCAUUUUAUUCUUGCUUGAACAGGGAAAGUGGAUGUUUAGUCAAUUGUUGUAUUUAGUGUCCUCAUAGAAUCAUAUUUUACUAGUACUCUCUCCUUUCAACUUUGUAAUUAAAUGUGGACUUAAAAGCAACUCUGGAUUGUCAUAGCUCUUCCUUUCCUUUCUUGCCAUAAUUUUUAGUGUAAAUGUCUGGCUUGUAUGCAGACAACACAAGCACAGACAGAUAUGAUAGUGUUUCUAGGGUACUAUGUGUGCAUGUUUUUCCUAACUGUGGAUGUACUGUGUCCAUCCAUCCUUCAUUACCAAGACUAUGCCCUCAAACUAUGAGCCAAAAUAAAUGCUUCCUGCCUUAAGUUUUAUUUGUCAAGUAUUUUGUCACAGAAAAGAGAGAAAUAAUAUAGAAAAUAGUUUCCAAGAGUGGUGUCCUUGCUGUGAUAACAAACCUGACCAUGUGGUUCUUAGCAUUUUUAGGAAGUGGUUUGCAAGAAAAGUGUGAAAGAAUUUGGAACUUUGGGAUAGAUAAGCCAUAUUAAGCAUGGCUUAAUGGAAGUUUGAGUGGCAGGAGUUUGAAAGACUAGAAUGUCUUUAGAAAAGUCAAGAAAACGCAGAUGGAGGUCUGGUUCAUGAAGCUUCAUGUAGAAACAAGUAUGCUAGUGAGAGCUGGGCCAGUAUAUUCUGGCAAAGAAUUUGACUCAAGUCCUUGAGCUAAACUGGAAAGUAAUUGACUAAUGUGUGUGGGGGGGGGGGUGGAGAAUGUCAAGACCAGAUAUCAUUCAGUCUGUUUCAUGGUUUCUGCUCACUGCUAGUAUCCAAGUCUACAGUGAGAGAAAGCAACAUGGAAGCAAAGUGAUGUAGAAAAUGUGUCAUUUGGUGAAGAAAGGAAGGAAUCUAAUAUUGCUGACAAAGGGAGUGCUGAGAAAGUAGCUGUAACUAUUAAAGAUGUUACCACCAUAUGGUGGUUUAAAUGAAAAUGGCCCCAUAGGCUCAUAGGGACUGGCACUAUUGGGAAGUGUGGCCUUGUUGGAGUAGGUGUAGCCUUGUUGAAGGAAGUGUGUCACUGGAGGAAGGUUUUGAAAUCUCAGAUACUUAAGCCAGGCCUAGUAUAUCUCAGUCUCUUCCUGCUGCCUAGAAAUCCAUAGGCAGAAUUCUCAGUUCCUCUCCAGUCCCUCGUUUGCCUGCAUGCAACCAUACUUCUUGCCAUGCUGAUAAUGGACUGAACCUCUGAAACUAUUAGCCAGCCCCAAUUAAAUAUUUUCCUUUAUAAAAGUUGCUAUGGUCAAAAAGUUCUCUUUGAAGCAAUAAAACCCUAACUAAGACACACCAUGAAAAAGAAACCUGUGAAUAUGGACAAGAUCUAGCCACUGAAAUCUCCAUCUUGUUAAAAUUUAAAUACAAGUCUGUGGCUCCAGGGGUUGCUCUUCCUUCAUUUGGUACAGAUGCAGCCUGAAAUCAUCCUGAGUGAGGUAACCCAGACCCAGAAAGACAAACAAGAUACAUACUCAUUCAUAAGUGGAUAUUAGACGCAAAGCAAAGGAUAACCAAGCUACAAUUCACAACCCCAGAGAAGAUGGGUAACAAGGAGGACCCUAAGAGAGCCACACAUGGAGGGCCUCAGGUAGAAGAAACAGUUAAGAUCUCCUGGGUAAACUGGGAGGGAGCAGAAGGGAGGAGAUGGGAACAUGAGGGGAUUGAGAUGGCCAAGUUGGGAAGGGACAGAGAGGGAGAGCAAUGAAUGACAUACCUUGUAAGAAGGAGUCAAUAUGGAAUUAGGGAGAAACCUGGUGCUAGGACAAUUCUCAGGAAUCCACAAGGACUACCCCAGUUAAGACUCCUAGCAAUAGUAGAGAAGGUACCUGAACUGACCUGCCCCUGUAAUCAGAUUAGUGACUAACCUAACUGUCAUCAUAGGACCUACAUCCAGUAACUGAUAGAAACAAAUGCAGUGAUCCACAGCCAAGCUCUGGGCUGAGCUCCUGGAGUUCAGUUGAAGACAGGGAGAGUGUAUCAUAUGAACAAGGGGGCAUCAAGAGCAUGAUGCAGAGAUCCACAGAGACAGCUAACUCAAGUUCAGAACUAUGGACUGACAGCUGGGGAACCUGCAUAGGACCAAAGUAUCAUCUUCCACAAUGGGGCCUUGCUGUCAGUCUGUGAAGAGCAACCUACAAUCUUAGCAAUAGCCUGCAUUGAUCAGGAGUUCAAUGAGAAGGCCUAACAACUCAAUUAGAUGUAACUAAUUCCCGGCACUGGAAGUUUCAUUUACUGGCAAGAGAUGUCUCGUUCGGACUUUGAACCAUCCUUGCAUCUCCGGGAUGAAGCCUACUUGAUCAUGUGCAACCUCUACCAAGAAGCUCCGCCCACUUCAGCAUCUACCAGGAAGCUCCUCCUACUUCAGCAUCCACCAGGAUGAUGCUCCUGCUUCAGCUUGCACUUGACGUGAAUGAGAAGUCAAAUGCUAUCCUAAUUCCUAUCCCCUUAAGCCAUUAAAAAUUAAGAUUUCUCAGCUGGGCAGUGGUGGCACAUGCCUUAAAUCCCAGCAAUUGGGAUGCAGAGGCAGGUGGCUCUCUGUGAGUGCGAGGCCAGCCUAGUCUACAGAGAGUUUUCCAGGACAGGCUCCAAAGUCACACAGAGGAACCCUGUCUCAAAAACAAAAAUAAGAUUUCUCUUUAAAGUGAGUAGUUAUCACUCUGAAGUGCCUUUCUUUUAUGUCAAUGAUCUCUUUUUCCUAAUUUGUGAAACCAGACUGAUUCCUGACCCAACAGGUCAGUCCUAUCCUUGAAAGGAGCAAUUUUGAUGAGGAAGGUGGGUUGUGAUACUAAAAAACACUAGUACAGGGUUUACCAUGUGAACAUGCAGUUGUUAGAACACAGUAAGUACGAGGCUUGUUUCAACUCUACUACUAACUCAGUGAGCUGACUUCACCCACAUAUGGUCUCCUUGAGCACCAGCCCCCUCCUCUUGGAGCCAGAGCUUUAGGUGAGAUUAAUUACCUCCAAAGUCUUUUGCAACUAUAGUAUGUUCUCCUUAAUGCUUCAUGCUAUACCUACAAAGCAACUCUUACACAGUGAAAGAGAAUUUCCCUGAAUGAUUUUUGCAAUUGAAUAACCUAAUGCCAAAAAUGUCAGUGACAAUUCUGAGAUACCCUGCUUAGUACCCUGACAUCAUGGGAACACAC